AUAUUAAAAGUACAUUACGGAGCAACCACGAAGAAGACAAGAAGGACGCUAGAAAAUCCCACAAAAUAAAAUAAAAUUCUAACCUUAGAUUAAAUAGAAUAGAAAACAACCACCAUUACAUCUAAGAUCAAAAUUAUUACCCACCAAUGCCACCAACCGUAUAAAAAUCUUCCCUCUGAAUCAGAACUGCGAUCUGAGCCUUCGAGCCUGAGCCCAUCGGCCAUGGUCCCGUCCUUUUUCUACAUUGGCUCAAUAGACCAAAUCAGCCGCCCGCCGCCAUCCAGAUCGGGGUUCGGAUUCGCUGGGUUCGUUCCGCAGUUCGCCCUCCGAUUAGCGACUCGGAGCAGGGCAGGGACGCCGGUGCUCUCGGCGAGACGGCAUUCAGACGGCCGGCGAGGGGCGUCGUGGCAGGGAUAACUCAGGGCACGGGAGCACCGAGCGAGGGUGCCGGUGAAAUCCGGCUGGCUCUGCGGUGCUUCUAGAGGCGACGCUCCACCGGAGCCCGGCAAGAAGGCGCGUGUGAUGGGGUUGAGGUGGUCGGGAUUCUCAUCUGAGCCCUGGGGGCUGCCUCGACGAGCUGUGCCCGUUUGAUCUGUCCCAGAGGCAUGGGGAUCGUUGUAAUGAGCGGGAUUAAAAAAACAACAGCCAUGGACCAUGGCCAAGGUCUUCAACGACGUCACCCUCAUGCUCUGUAACAAGUCGCAGGAAAAAGAAACCGUUUGAUCUGUCCCAGAGGCAUUACACAGAACGCAGGCCAUGGGGAUCGUUGUAAUGAGCGGGAUUAAAAAAACAACAGCCAUGGGCCAUGGCCAAGGUCUUCAACGACGUCACCCUCAUGCUCGGCAACAAGUCGCAGG